AAAAAUCUUGCUAUUGCACAAUAUUUUGCAAUUAGAUAUUUCUUGCUUACUAUUCUGGACAAAGAAAGAUAACUCUAAUUAAAAAAAAAUUUGCUAUUUCACAAUAUUGUGCAAUUAGAUAUUUCUUGCCGUUGCGCAAUACUGUGCAAUUGAAAAGACUUGCUAUUGCACAAUACUUAAUAUAAUAAUUUUAGAUCCUGAUUUGGACCAACUUGAAAACUGGGCCCAUAAUAAAAAAUCUAAGUACUUUUUUGGAUUCAGCAUAUCAAAGAACCCCAAGAUUUCAAUUUUUGUUAAAAUCAGACUAAGUUUAAUUUUGGACCCUUUGGACUUUAGUGUAGACCAAUUUGAAAACAGGACCAACCAGAUGCUCCGCAGGGCAAAGCUUUAUACGACCGCAGAGGUUGAACCCUGAACGGUUAGGGCAAGUAUGGACACAACAUUCAAGCUGGAUUCAGCUCUAAAUUUGGAUUGUGAUUAAAUAGUUGACACAGCAUAGGUUUCUGACACAGAAUGAAUGUGUUCUAAUGAACUUAAAAUUUUUGUUUCUCUUAGAGCUAUUCACUAUGCUGUUGAAUAUUAAUCCUCUCAAAAAAAUGUUUGAAGAAAUUUUCUUUUUUAUUUAUGAAAUUUCAAAUGAGAAAAAUUGAACCCAAUUUUUUUAAUCACAUCCCCCUUUCCCUUAUUCCAAAA
rnacentral:lncRNA from 1 species